rnacentral:rRNA from 1 species
UACGUAGGUGGCAAGCGUUGUUCGGAAUUAUUGGGCGUAAAGGGCGCGUAGGCGGUUUGUUAAGUCAGCUGGGAAAGCCCGGGGCUCAACCCCGGAGGGUCAGCUGAUACUGGCAGGCUAGAGUACGGGAGAGGGAAGUGGAAUUUCAGGUGUAGCGGUGAAAUGCGUAGAUAUCUGAAGGAACAUCAGUGGCGAAAGCGACUUCCUGGACCAAUACUGACGCUCAUGUGCGAAAGCGUGGGGAGCAAACAGG